AUGUCAAUUUUUAUAUUAUAAAUGUUGUAGUUGUGGUAGGGGCAAGCUCAUUGCUAUUUUCAUUCGCUUUUCCACAGAUAUGGGUAACGUUAUUGUAUGUAGGCUAUGUUUGAUAAAGUGCGUUUCAUAUUUAAUCCAGAACGAGGAUCGUAGUUUCGGAAGCGCGUUGUCACAGUAACACAAUUUCAGCGUAGUAGCUAGCUAUGUGGUGUAAACUAAGGUAAUUUAUUUUUUAUAUAAAUUGCUUGUUAUCAGACAUAAUCUACUCUCAGUUGACUAUUUUGUCAAUAAUUAUAUGCGAAGUCUACCGGAAGUUUAAAAGUAGUUCGGAUCACAAAAGCCUGUUUAUGGCCGUUUCUGCCUGCAGCCUUCGGAGGCCGCAUUUGUUAGUGUUUGGAGUCGUAUUUGUAAGCUGCAUACGUCAUUAUGACUGUCUUAUUAUAAAGUUGACUAUUAUUAACUGUAAACUGUUGUAAUAUGCUUAUGACUUGCGAACGUAAUGCUCAGUUAACUUAAAUAAACAAGGCUUGAUGACGUAUACAGCCUGCAUAUGCGACCUCCGCAGGCUGCAACCUUCGGAUUGAGAAACGGCCUAUGUAUGUUGUUGCUGAAACGAAACCAUCCCGUUAGCACACUUGUAAUUCCGGUCCGGAGGUAAACAUAAUAUUCACUACAGUUGUGUGCGGAAAGUAUGUUGGCACAUCUUAUAGUUGUCAGAGGAAGCGAUGGGGGCACGUUUAAUGACAGUGUCUUCUGUUUCUGUCAAAGCCAGGAUCAUUUUGAAAAACAAACACCUGGUUGGGUUAUUUUGACCCAGCAAUUGGUUUAUUAAUUGCCGCACUUUCUGGAUUCUUCGCUUCUGACUGGAUCACGCUGCUCGGACCAGGCGGUAUUUCAUGUUGUUAUGAGAAACAUGCCUCAUCGUUAAGUCGUAGUCGAGCUAUAUCUGCAUUCUUUUGAAAUAUUCAAGUUCAGUAGAAUCCACUGAAUUGACCCCAACAGAUCAUAUCACCAUGACAGUGGAACUUUUUUCAGCCUUUGCAGUUUGUCAGAUUUUGGAAAGCACCCCUGAGAGGAAAUCCGUAUUAAACCGUUAAAGUGCAAGCAAUUACCAACAAGCAGAGGAGGCUACUUGUGAGACUCCUUGCAUCCCAUCUGCUGGAAACCAAUGGUGAAACCUGAGUAAGCUACAUUUAAAUAAGCCUGCAAACAUAUAGUAGCAAGCAAAUGCUUAGAAAACAUAAAUGACCAUUCUCUUUUUUUAUAGCGAGUCUUAUAGGGGCGUACACACCAAACGCAAAUUCAAAGAUUUGCGCAAGUAAAUUACAUACAAAGUCAAUGCAAGACACAAACUUGCGCUGGGUGAUGCAAAUGACGCGAAUAGGGCGGUGUGAUUGCCGCAAACAAGUGCUAUUUGUUUCAAACUUAUCUGCCACAAUAUAUUCAACUCAAUUGGAAAAUGCGCAGGACACAAAGUUAAAUCUUGUAAGUAAUCGUGAGUAAAGAGCUAGGAGCGCAAUGCUUCAAGUGUGGUGUGUACGCAACAUUAGUGUUUGAACAUGAAAAUACCAACAUUAUUUUUAAGUAAAUUCUAAGUAAGAUCACACAGGCUUCUGCAAUAGCUUACCAUAUUGCAUAAGUUCUUCAUCAACUGCUGUU